rnacentral:lncRNA from 1 species
CGAGGUGCUGCCGCCGCUGCCCGACCUGCGCCUUCGCGCCACUUCGCGCCCUCGGGCGAGGCCGAGGGGGUGGGGACGACCCCCGCCGCGCCGCCGUGGCUUGCGCCCCCUCGCGAAGCCCCCUCCGCGGGGCGGACCGGCCGGCUGGCCGCACCCCCGGCCUGGGGCCUCCGGUCGUAGUAAAGCGGAGGCGGGUGGGGAGGCGGGAGCGAGAGCCCGCGGCGGGCGAGGCGAAGAUGGUGGCGGCUACUCCUCCUGUCAUACACGUGGACCUAACUGCACCAAAAGCUUUUCUAAGGAUAUUUGCUGAGAAGGAAGUUUUCCCCAGUGGUUUACCAAGUAAUUGCUAA